rnacentral:miRNA from 1 species
CAACAGUCGAAACAAUAUGAAAC